CAAUAGCGUAUAUUAAAGUUGUUGCAGUUAAAGAGCUCGUAGUUGGAUUUCUGGUAGGAGCGACCGUGCCGAACUUGAUUGUUCGAGUAUUGUGUUGUCUUCAGCCAUCCUCGUGGAGAACUUUUCUAACAUUAACUUGUUGGGAUUGGGACCCGCGUCGUUUACUGUGAAAAAAUUAGAGUGUUUAAAGCAGGCAUUAGCUUGAAUACAUUAGCAUGGAAUAAUAAGAUAGGACUUUGGUACUAUUUUGUUGGUUUGCAUACCAAAUUAAUGAUCAACAGGAACAGUUUGAGGAUAUUCGUAUGAACAUGUCAGAGGUGAAAUUCUUGGAUUUUGAUCAGACGAACUACUGCGAAAGCAUUUAUCAAGGAUGUUUUCAUUAA
rnacentral:rRNA from 1 species